UCCGUAAAGGUGGAUGAGUGGUGUUUGGUUUGUUACGUGUGGUUGGCUGCGGCGUUUGCAACAACUUCCAUGCUCUCAGACCUCUUCAGUUGUGCGGCAAGGCUUGUAUCGCCUUGAGCGUAUCGUGGGUUUUCUGUGUUGGCUACCUAAUCGACGGUAUCGUUUGGAUUGAUCAAAGUGUGAUUUCGUCUUCCGUCGCGUUUGCGGCGUGAGGUGAACCUUGACGCGGUCUCUUUGAUCCAUCUCGUCGAAGCAUAUGCUUUGACGUUGUGGCACAUUGGGCAUUGCUUGGUCUCUUGUGUACGGAACACGUAGCGGGCAUGGAUCUAACGAUUCUUGUUUGCCCUCAUAUUAGCGUAACGCUUCUCAAACACGACUUGCAUCGCGUUUUAGCUCGUACGGACGUGGUGCUAUGUCGCAGAGGAAUGCUACCUGGUUGAUCCUGCCAGUAGUCAUAUGCUUGUCUCAAAGAUNAAGCCAUG
rnacentral:misc_RNA from 1 species